AUUUCCAGCUGGGAAAAAAAAAGCUCGGCUCAGCUUCUUUUCCUCAUUUUCGAUCGGCUUUCGGCGGCCUGUCUCCCGGCUCUCUUCUUAUCCAUCUGCAUCGCCAUCGCCGGAUCCCCAUGGUCGGAGUCCGCCGCGUCCACCGGUGCUCCCUCCCCCACGCGCCUGAGCCCCAAUGCCGGCCGCCGUGCCCCCACCCGCCGCUUCCCCGGGCGCGGCCCCUGUCGCCUCCCGGCGCCCGUGACCGAUUCCGUCCGGCGGCGCCUUCUCCCCUCCCGACGGCUCGGCCCCGCAGCUACUUCCCCUCCCGGCGUCGCGCAGCCUGUGCGCCAUCACGUGCGCCAAGUGCGGCCGUGAGAACUCCUGCGACACGCCGCCGUGCAACUGCACGCUGUACCGCCAGCUCCACCUCCCGCCGCCGCCGAGGACCCAGGCCUCGACCUUCGGUGUCGCUCGGCGCGCAUCCCUCGUCGCCGAGGAGGUCCUCUCCGCCCCUGCCCGCCUCCUCGACGAAAUCCAAUCGGAGAUAGUACACUCGAUCCCCAUUCCCACAGUUGGAAGAGCCAAUUCUGAGUCAGUGUACAACUUCAGGAAUGGGCUUAACUAGUUUUUCUAACAAGCAAAGUGAAAGCUGCAGUCGUUCAGAUGUGACCAAUGUGGAUAGCCAGAGCUUGUUAGAGUCCAAUACUAAAUGCCAAGAGCAGAAUACCAGUUGCCAAGCUUCUAUUCUUGAUCUGCAUGGAGGGCCAGAAGUUCGUCAGAAUGGUUGCAUGAUGCAUAUUUCUUUCCCAGAUGCAUUGCAGUUUCCUGCUAGCUGGUUUAAUAAUAUUUGCACAUCAAUAUCACAAGCAGAUGCAUCAUCUGACGCCCCCUUACUGCUGGGAUGCUGGUUCAGACUACUGGGUCAAGUUCAGUGAACUUGAGAGUAUUAGUUCUUUCGAGGCAUGGCUCUCCCCACAUGCUCGCAGGCGUGAGUAAGACGUCCAAGUAUAAAGGCAGCGUCGAGCUGAUUGAUUCAAGAGUCAGAAAUUUGCCGAAGAAGCUCUUCAUUAAGCAGCAGCAUGAUUACAAGUCAUCAAGACCAAUUACCCGUCAUCAAGAUCCUGAAGGAUGGUUUCUCAGUUCAUUACACAAAUUGGCCGAUGGUGACUGUGACCUUCAUAUUUUGUAUUGACAGAGUGUCCAUGUACAAAGUUUUUAUGGGAUCAAUGUACAAUGUAUCAUGUUAUCUGAAAUAUACAUAUUUAUAUUUAGAAAUAAGAAAUGUGAUGGUUGUGUUUAAAAA